AUUGAACGCUGGCGGCAGGCCUAACACAUGCAAGUCGAGCGAGCGGGGGACGGGUGAGAAAUGUAUGGGGAUUUCCUCUAUAGCGGGGAAUAACUACUGGAAACGGUGGUUAUUACGGCAUACUAGCCGAUGAAACCUGAUGGGAUUAGCUAGUAGGUGGGGUAAAGGCUCACCUAGGCGACGAUCCCUAGCUGGUCUGAGAGGAUGAUCAGCCACACUGGGACUGAGACACGGACCAGACUCCUACGGGAGGCAGCAGUGGGGAAUAUUCCACAAUGGGCGAAAGCCUGAUGCAGCAAUGCCGCGUGUAUGAAGAAGGCCUUCGGGUUGUAAAGUACUGUCAGCGGGGAGGCGUUACCUACACAAGAAGCACCGGCUAACUCCGUGCCAGCAGCCGCGGUAAUAC
rnacentral:rRNA from 1 species